rnacentral:rRNA from 1 species
UACGGGGGGGGCAAGCGUUGUUCGGAAUUACUGGGCGUAAAGGGCUCGUAGGUGGCCAACUAAGUCAGACGUGAAAUCCCUCGGCUUAACCGGGGAACUGCGUCUGAUACUGGAUGGCUUGAGUUCGGGAGAGGGAUGCGGAAUUCCAGGUGUAGCGGUGAAAUGCGUAGAUAUCAGGAGGAACACCGGUGGCGAAAAGCGCUCAUCUGGCCCCAAUACUGACGCUGAUGCGCGAAAGCGUGGGGGAGCGAACAGG